AGGGACUUAGGAUAAACCCAGACCAGAGGCCUUCAAAGCCCCAAGCGGGAGUUAGAACCUCCCAGCCCCUG
rnacentral:tRNA from 1 species